GAUCAACGCUGGCGGCGUGCCUAAUGCAUGCAAGUCGCGCGCGGGUCCCUUCGGGGGUGCUGCGCGGCGGACGGGUGCGUAACACGUGGGCAACCUGCCCUGGGGUGGGGGAUAGCCGUGGGAAACCGCGGGUAAUUCCGCAUACGUUCAGGUCUCAAGCGGGGAUCUGAAGAAAGGGAGCAAUCCCGCCCGAGGAGGGGCCUGCGGCCGAUUAGCUGGACGGUGGGGUCACGGCCUACCGUGGCGAUGAUCGGUAGCUGGUCUGAGAGGACGGCCAGCCACACGGGGACUGAGACACGGCCCCGACUCCUACGGGAGGCAGCAGCAAGGAAUCUUCCGCAAUGGGGGCAACCCUGACGGAGCAACGCCGCGUGGGGGAUGACGCCCUUCGGGGUGUAAACCCCUUUUCUGCGGGAAGAAGGCGCUCACGCGCUUGACGGUACCGGAGGAAGAAGGACCGGCUAACUACGUGCCAGCAGCCGCCGUAAUAC
rnacentral:rRNA from 1 species